UACGUAGGGUGCAAGCGUUGUCCGGAAUUACUGGGUGUAAAGGGAGCGUAGGCGGGAAUGCAAGUUAGGUGUUAAAUCUAUCGGCUCAACCGAGGAAUGGCGCCCAAAACUGCGGAGCUCGAGGGAGACAGAGGUGAGUGGAACUUGUGGUGGAGCGGUGAAAUGCGUUGAUAUCACAAGGAACACCGGUGGCGAAAGCGGCUCACUGGGUCUCUUCUGACGCUGAGGCACGAAAGCUGGGGGAGCGAACGGGAUUAGAUACCCCUGUAGU
rnacentral:rRNA from 1 species